CCAGAGCUGCAUAAAGUGUGAUCUAUUAACUUUUCAGUCUUCAUAUGUAUAUUUCAAAUUUAUUAUUUUAUUUGGUACAAGAGUAAGCUAAGUAUUCUUCUCUUCAGCAAAUGCCUCACUUGUUAAAUUACUGUUCCAAGAAAAAUCCACCCUUGAGAGUCCCUAUUCCAGCCCUCUUGACAUCUAGCUACCACCCUCAAACACAAAUAACUUCGUAUCUUAAUCAGCUGAGCAUAGUGGCUUUUAAAUCCUGUAUCUUUGAAUAAGGUUCUAGCAAUGUUUUCUGCCAACACAGUGAUUAAACAAAAACAGAGGAGAGGAUGUUUUCCAAAGCUUCCCAAGACCUGAAAUGAGCCGAGGAUGGAUGACACUGUAGGCUUGGUAGCAACAUACCCAGGUGCUCACCACUCUUACAGGCAACAUCUGGAUCUGCUGCCACACGUGCUCAGACCCCAGCUUUUGGCAGAGCUGCUGCCUGGUGUGGGAAAGGCUUAAGUUGUCAAAGCCAAGUGCUGGCUUGGAGCUGAAUGACCACCCAUUAAUUGCCUGCAUGUUUCUUCCCCUCAAGCAUAAUCACAGAAAGAGAACAAGCCGAUAAUUCCCAGCAGUGAAGAAUGUGAAUGUGAGCACACUUGGGAAAUGCACAAUUGCAUCAUAAUCCUAAUACAAACAAGAGGAAAGGAGUCACUGAACCCAGGAUGAAGACAUCUUUUCCAUCAGCCCUUGCUCUGUGAAUGCCAUGCCCAUCACAUCUUCCCUGGCCUACAGCUCACUGUUUUGGGAUUGCUAGACUGAACUCUAAGAGCAAGAGGAGCACAGUCUUUCAUCUGGGAUAACAACCAAUCAAACACUGACAAGAUAUUCCACACAUCUGAAGGCCUUUUGUCUGCGUGUGCUGUUCUUAUGCAUCGGCAUCUCGCCUCCAGCAUCCAGCUUCUGCAUAAAUUAAUUUCUGACUCUCAUCCUUUCUAGGAUACCUUUUGCUUGCUUUAUAUGUGUGAAGCAUAAACUUGAAAGAGUUAAAGAUAUUAGGAAAGCUAAGGCCUUAAUUAAAAUUAAUUUUUGUUAAAUCAAAUUAAAAAAAAAUAAUCCUUGUUAAAUUUAAUAGAGAGGCACUACUAGAAUUAGGAGCUAAUCAUUAGCCAAUAACUAAUUGUCUGUCAACCUUACGUUUGUUCAGCUGGGCUUGUAAUGAGAAACGAGGAAUCUUGUAAGGAACUUCAAGAGCAUAAGACAAUUGCAAACCAGAAACCAAUUGGAAACAUGAAACUAGGAACAUGGCCAGGGGUUCAUUUGUCACUUUGCAUUGAAAAGGUAGAAAGGUCAGAAUGUGGAAGAGCCAUAUCCCUUCCUCCCUUUUAUGACCACUCCCCAUAACGAGACCACCGACUCAUUUCAAGGAACAAACUGCGCAUGCUUAAUUGCUUUUUCUUAAUUAGCAUAGGAAGAGGGGAGUGGGUGGUAACUGGGUUAUGAAUAUGUAUUUGUAUUCAAUAUCUCGGUAAAUAAAAAGUUCGUAAUCGCCUGUAUUCGGGGCUGUGUGUAUUAAGGGGUGACCCUGCACAUCUGCUCAGCGCUGCCAAUAAACACACACUCUGUAACACCAA